rnacentral:rRNA from 1 species
AUGUAUGCUAUAAGAAGUAACGAUAAUCAUGAUUUUAAUGUUCAAUUGGUUUUGCUUCGAAACAGAACCCUGCAAUCAAAUAGAUUGUUCCAAGGGCGCCAUAUUCUAGGAGCCCAAGUUAUGCUAUUAAAAAGUCAUUCCUCUAGCAAUUCCAGUUUUAGCAUUAUGUUCCCUUUUUCAAACUCCACUUCUUUUCAUAUAGCAAUCCUUGAUCAAAGAGAUAAUAGUAUCCAUUUCAAAAUAUUUCUAACAUAUUCCUUAGUUUGGACCGACGAUCAAUCAAGUUUCAUAUGA